ensembl:lncRNA
CUGAGGCUCCAAGUUGGGAGUGGUGGCGCACAGGAGUGGUGGCGCACACCUUUAAUCCUAGCACUUGGCGGGCAGUGGCAGAGCGUGUCGGACCCCCCUGGAACCAGAGUUAUAGAUUGAAGUGGGAACUUAAGGGUUUUUUUGGAAAGUCGUUCAGAUGGUGUUUUGCUGGAGUGAACACGUGAAAGAACAUUUCAUUAAAGUGGACACAGGUGUGAAAGGCUAAGGCCGACUUGUGAAGGAAUGUUUGGCUGAAGCAGACCGAUGAAAGGACAUUCUGCUAAGGCAAACACAAGAAUGGACACGUGAUAAAGGAUUCUGGACACGUGAUGAGGGAUUCUGGACACGUGAUGAAGGAUUCUUUGCUAACAGCACGCAUGCGUCGGUCCACCUCACAUUGCGUAGUUGGGACUCCACGGAGAGAAAUGAACCAGUAAACCUCUGAUGGUCUGCUACAGUUUCUUGCUGCUUCUGUGGACUUGGGCUGAUUGGCGGAGUAACGUCAGCUGAGACAGACUCACGUGCUGAGGCAGGACCCAUGGAGGACCUGCCAUGUUUAGAGGGUACAGACAGUACUCAGCAGUGACGGAGGCUGAGCUUGGCUUGCUUACAGAGCCAACCAUGCAACACUUGUGGGUCUCGCCUCUUUGCUGAUCUUCACUUCCCUAAGAGAGGCACAGCCGAGAACUUCUGGCCUUCUUCUUGGUCCCUCCGGCUGACUAGAGCUGAGGCACCCCCGGCUGUCUCUGCUAGGUAGUGUUACUGCUGCUGAUUCCUGUUUGCUACCCGACUCUACUGAACUAGAUGCUGGCGUGGUGUAUCGGUGAAGUGUUUGCCAGUGGAUCGAGCUGCUGCUACUAACCUGGGAACUGAACAGCUGAUUUCCAGACAGCACAGAACACCUGGAGUGGAUUACAGUUCUUCUCAUGCAGUUGUGUGUCUGGAAUGGAAACCCUGACAUCUAAGGCAGGACAUUUCAGAAGAACUGGGAUGGCUCUUGGCAUCAUUGGGAGAACCUGAAAGGGAAUACUAAGGGGACAGAGCUACAGAAUUUCCCAUCUGAGGAACUUGUACUUGUGGGGAAGUUGAUCAGAAACACCAGAGUCUGAAUUCUUCAGGCAGCUGAAUCUUGGUUCAAAGUAAGUUAAAAAGAAUUACAUAGAAGAGAAAUUCAACUCUGAAAUUCAAAACAUAUGUCAUUGAAUACCCUGAUGUAAACUUAGGAAAACAAAUGAAAGGACAGACUUUUUUCUAGUUAUUUGUUGACAUUCAGUCAUUCAGUCAUUCAUUUAUUUCUGGGGAGCUUCAGGCAGCUGAGGAGAUUUGUACACUGUCUUGGGUGAACAGACUACAACCAGGAACCAAGAAGCAUGUGGGGAACAUGUUGCAGGUUCAGCUUCAGAACACAUUGAGUCAUUUCAACAAAAACUGUGAUAAUUAAAGAGGAAAAAUUACAUUUAGCCCAGAUAUAAAAUGGGGAUAAGACUGAGCUCUUUUGGAAGUCAAUGCCAGAGAACACUCAGGUAAGAUAUCUGCCUACCAGGGAGGAAAAUAAACAAAGGGUGGCUGUCUGCUCCUAUGUGUGCAAAUACAGGUGUGACUCAUAAAUCAACAUCAGUUGUCACUGUAAAAGGAAAGGUGCCCAAAAGUGUGAAAGAAGACACAAGUACAUCAUCCGUGAUAUAUAAACCUGGUAAAGACGUUUGGUUCACAAGAGAAUUGUUUAGAAUGGUUCUUUCAAAAUUUUGCUCAGCAUUUCCAACUUAAUGAUCUAGGAUUUCAUGAGGAAGAUAGGACAUUGGUACUUCUGGACAACUCUCCAGUUCACCCUUCUGCGGAACCAUCAGCCAGUGAGGAUGGUAGAAUAAGAUACACGUUCUCUCCCCCUAAUACUUCUACUUUGAGUCAACCAGUGAAUCAAGCUGUAACCUUGAGCUGCAAAGAACUUUAGAGAUGGAAACAACUUGAAGAGAGUCUUAGAAACUUUGGAGAAAGUGAGGAUGAACAGGAAAAAGAAAGAGAAGGGAAUUUCCAAGAUUAAGAUGUAGAAUGUGAAAAGUGCACUUUUUAACUGGGAUGAAGUAAAACAAUUAACAGUAGCAGACGCAUGGGAAAUCUCCUUUACAAAGAAGAAACUGUGUGACCUUCAAGGGCAAGAGCGUGGGAGCUAGAGGGAUCCUUGAGAAAGGUGCAGAAACCAAGCUGGGCAUGGAGGAUAUGGUUAAAUGAAGAUGAUGAAGAGAAAGGUUGUUUCUCCCCGCCUCUCUCCACCCUUCACCCCUGAAAACCCAAAAGGUGAGACAGUAAAGGAAGCUGUGCAAAGGACGGAGCUGGAAAUUGGACAGGAAUUUAAGUUCCACACUGGACUACAUUCUUAACUUUCCUGAUGCCAUACCUGAAUUUUAAAUACUUCAUUUCACACUAAGAGAUGCAACAAAAAUAUAGCCAAGAAAGAACUGGAGAGUAAAAUCCUUUUAAGAAUUGGUAGGUUUUUGAAAACUAGACUUCCUAAUAUUAAGGAUACUGUCAAUAUGCUUUCAACUUCUGGUUCUAGUAAUCAGACUAUGUAAAGGUAAUUGGAAUAUAUGAUACUGUUGAUACCGUUUUUAAUCAAACAUUAUUUUCAUAUCAAUGCUCACUUAUGCAUUGGCUAGAAUAUAGUUUGAAAAUAAAUGUGAAUUCCCAUAAAUGUAUGAAUAUCAUUUUCUAUUUACAAAUCAAGGAUAUGAAUAAUGAAUUAUCAUCCUAAAUUAUAUAAAUUGUAAUGGCUAUGCUAAAAACAUAGGUUUAAAUUCUACCAUGUAAUUUUGGCUAAUACACAUUAGUACUAUGCACCAAGCAAGACCUUUGUUUCAUUCUCCAGAAUUAAAAAAUAGUAACGUACGUCACAUAAAGGAGGAAGGGGCUCCUCCUAAGCCCCUAGAAGGAACUCAUAAUGAGCAAAGCUGGCCACGAACAGAUUUAUGACUGCCUACAUGGUCUUAUUACCCAUAGGGAAGUACAACCAAAGAGAAUUAAAAUAUUACAAGACGGGAGCUAGACAGUUGGCUCAGUGGUUAAGAACACUGGCUGGGGCUGGAGAGAUGGCUCAGCGGUUAAGAGCACUGACUGCUUUUCCAGAGGUCCUGAGUUCAAUUCCCAGCAACCACAUGGUGGUUCACAACCAUCUGUAAUGAGGUCUGAUGCCCUCUUCUGGUGCGUCUGAAGAUAGCGUACAGUGUACUCAUAUACAUAUAAUAAAUAAAUAUUAAAGAACAUUGGCUGUUCUUCAGGUGAUCCACGUUCAAUUUCUAGUCCCUAUAUGGUAGUCCGUUCUAGCCCAGGGGAUCUCAGCUCCCCCUGCACCAUGCCUGCCUGAAUGCUGCCAUGUUUCUGCCUUGAUGACAAUGGACUGAACCUCUGAACCUGUAAGCCAGCCAAGAAUUAAAUGUUGUCUUUAUAAGAGUUGCCUUGGUUAUGGUGUCUCUUCACAGCAGUAAAACCCUAAGACAGAAGUUGCUACCAGGGACUGGGGUGUUGCUGCGAUAGACCUGACCAUGCUUUUGUUUGGAAGAAUGUUGAUUUGGGGGGGACUUUGGAUUUAGAAAGCCAUAGAAUGUUUUAAGUGGAGCUUAAUGAGCCAUCCUAGUAGGAAUAUGGAAGGCUUUGUUGUUGUGAGUUAUUUCAAUUGUGCAGACCUGGCCCAAGAGGUUUCAGUGGAGAACAACUUCAGUAUGUGGCCUAGAGACUAUUUUUGUAGUAUUUUAGUGACGAACAUGGCUACUUUUGGCCCUAGUCUGAGGAGUCUGCCUGAGGCUAAGGAGAAGAGACUCAGAUAAAUUGCACUGACAAAGGAAGUCUCAAAAAAGCCCAGCAGAGACUUUGUUCUCUGGUUACGUCUGAUAAAGAGCAUUUUGAACAAGCAUAGCAAGCUUAGAAAGGAAAAAUAUAUAAGGUAGAGUUUGAGUAUUAAAGGGGCACCAGGAAGUGAAAUAGAACUGAAUCCUGUGUUCAAGGGUAUUAAAUUGAAUUAACGGAGUGGUGACCUUGGGGCAAGAUCCUACCCAGCUAAAUUUAGAUCCAGGCUUGGUGCUACAUACUUUUAAUCCCAGGAGAUAAAGCCAAGCAGAUCUCUAAGUUCAAGGCCCAUCUGAGACAGACGGAGUUAUAGGUGAAGAAAAGCUUAAAUUCAGGCACAGUGGUACACACUUUGAUCCCAGUAGCCAAGCAUGCAGAUCUCUGAGUUCACGGUCAGUCUACAGAGCAAGAUCCAGGACAGCCAAGCUUAGGCAGUGAAGGAGUUGGAAAAGAGGAAGCUAGUGACUGAACAAGGGGGCCAUGUUCCAGCUCCAGCAAGCAGCAGAACACAGCAGUUUCAGCCAUGUGGCUCUGGCUUUAGAGCCAAGAAUAGAAGGGACUACAGGGACAGUUAAUGCUGGUUAACUGGAGCUAAGAAAUUAGUGGUGAUUAAGAAGAGAGCAGCAUCACUGUGAUGAAAUUUUCUGGGAAGUUAUUUUCUGAGAACACAAAGAAGCUGUGUUCCAGAGAUAGCCAAGGUUGUACCUCGUGCUGCAGCUGUACUUGGUAAUGUGUAAGAAUCACCCAGGUGGUACUGGGUUUGAAGGCAUGAAGUGGUCAUGAAGAGCAGAAGGCUUGGUACUGAGAGGCCAUGAAAGGCCGUCGGUGAAAGAAAGUGCAGCCUCAGUUGUAGUUGAUGGCCCAGGACUGAAGGGGUCAUGCAAAGGAGUUGAGGCUUGACACCAGGAAGAGAGCCUGAGAGAGGCUUUUGGUGAAGUAAGUCGAGUGUAUUAUAGAUGCCAGUACCGUGGGAUGAUCACCAAGAGCAGCAGUGGUAGUGGACUGGAUCAACCUGAGCUUAGAGGGCAGGGCUGCAGAGGUGACUCAGCUCUUUGGAGCCCUUUGGAGCCGCCCAGACCAUGUAUAGAUCCCCGACACUGAAACAAGAAGCUUUAAUAUUGAAGUUGCCUUGGAGAGCCCAAGAUGCUAAAGAUGCCCAAGUCGUAAGAUACCUGCAGAGGAGAGCUGCUGACAGGGAGUGGAACCAGCCCAGGGCAGAGAAGUUUGUUGCAGUCAACAAAGAUGAGAAAGGAGCUGGAGAUCUGAAGACGGCUGUGACGUCAGACAUGGAGACGCAGGGUUUGGAGUUUGCCCAGCUGGAUUCCUGUCUUGCUUUGGGGAUUGCAGUUAAAUGAUUGGAUGGAUCUCAGAAGAGAUCUUAAACUUUGGACUUUUAACAUUGUUGAGAGUGCUAUAGACUAUGGAAGUUGGACUAAAUGUAUUUUGUAUUAGACUGUGUUUAGGUAUGGCCCCCAUAGAUUCAUGUAUUUGAACAAGUCUAUAGAGGCCAGGGAGUAGAAUAUGAUGGUUUGUAUAUGCUUGGCCCAGGGUGUGACACUAUUAGGAGAUGUGGCCUUGUUGGAAUAGGUGUGUCAUUGUGGGUGUGAGCUUUAAUAAGCCUUGUCCUAGCUGCCUGGAAGCUGGUAUCUGCUAGCAGCCUUCAGAUGAACAAGUAGACCUCUCAGCUCCUCUUGUACCAUGCCUGCCUGGAUGCUGCCAUGCUCCUGCCUUGAUGAUAAUGGACUGAACCUCUGAACCUGUAAGGCAGCCUCAAUUAAAUGCUGUCCUUAUAAAA